rnacentral:rRNA from 1 species
AAUUCGAUUAGUUUGAUCAUGGCUCAGGAUGAACGCUGGCGGUAUGCUUAACACAUGCAAGUCGAACGGAACCUUCGGGUUUAGUGGCGGACGGGUGAGUAACGCGUGAGAAUCUGCCUUUAGGACGGGGACAACAGUUGGAAACGGCUGCUAAAACCCGAUGUGCCCUUCGGGGUGAAAUAUUUAUAGCCUGAAGAUGAGCUCGCGUCUGAUUAGCUAGUAGGUGAGGUAAAGGCUCACCUAGGCGACGAUCAGUAACUGGUCUGAGAGGAUGACCAGUCACACUGGGACUGAGACACGGCCCAGACUCCUACGGGAGGCAGCAGUGGGGAAUUUUCCGCAAUGGGCGCAAGCCUGACGGAGCAAGACCGCGUGAGGGACGAAGGUCUGUGGAUUGUAAACCUCUUUUGACAGGGAAGAAGAACGUGACGGUACCUGUCGAAUCAGCCUCGGCUAACUCCGUGCCAGCAGCCGCGGUAAUACGGAGGAGGCAAGCGUUAUCCGGAAUUAUUGGGCGUAAAGCGUCCGUAGGUGGGUAUCCAAGUCAGUUGUUAAAGAGGGAAGCUUAACUUCAUAGAGGCGACUGAAACUGGAUGUCUAGAGAGUGGUAGGGGUAGAGGGAAUUUCCAGUGUAGCGGUGAAAUGCGUAGAUAUUGGAAAGAACACCGGUGGCGAAAGCGCUCUACUGGGCCAUUACUGACACUGAGGGACGAAAGCUAGGGGAGCGAAAGGGAUUAGAUACCCCUGUAGUCCUAGCCGUAAACGAUGGAUACUAGGCGUUGCCCGUAUCGACCCGGGCAGUGUCGUA